rnacentral:rRNA from 1 species
GAAACCUACGGGGCGCAGCAGUGGGGGAUAUUGCACAAUGGGGGAAACCCUGAUGCAGCGACGCCGCGUGAGUGAAGAAGUAUUUCGGUAUGUAAAGCUCUAUCAGCAGGGAAGAAAAUGACGGUACCUGACUAAGAAGCCCCGGCUAACUACGUGCCAGCAGCCGCGGUAAUACGUAGGUGGCAAGCGUUAUCCGGAAUUACUGGGUGUAAAGGGUGUGUAGGCGGGGCUGCAA